GACGAACGCUGGCGGCGUGCUUAACACAUGCAAGUCGAACGGAAAGGCCCUGCUCUUGUGGGGUGCUCGUGUGGCGCACGGGUGAGUAUCACGUGAGUAACCUGCCCUUAACUUUGGGAUAACUUCAGGAAACUGGGGCUAAUACCGGAUAGGAGCUCCUGCUCCAUGGUGGGGGUUGGAAAGUUUCGGCGGUUGGGGAUGGACUCGCGGGUUAUCAGCUUGUUGGUGGGGUAGUGGCUUACCAAGGCUUUGACGGGUAGCCGGCCUGAGAGGGUGACCGGGCACAAUGGGACUGAGAUACGGCGCAGAAUGCUACGGGAGGCAGCAGGCGGGAGUAUUGCGCAGUGGGGGGACGCCUGAUGCAGCAGCGCUGCGUGCGGGAUGACGGCCUUCGAGUUGUAAACCGCUUUCGCCUGUGACGAAGCGUGAGUGACGGUAACUGGUAAAGAAGCACCGGCUAACUACGUG
rnacentral:rRNA from 1 species